rnacentral:rRNA from 1 species
GAUGAACGCUAGCGGCAGGCCUAAUACAUGCAAGUCGAACGGUGUCUUCGGACAUAGUGGCGCACGGGUGCGUAACACGUAUGCAACCUACCUUACAUUGGGGGAUAGCCUUUCGAAAGGGAGAUUAAUACCGCAUAAGACAGUAGCUGGGCAUCCAGCAGCUGUUAAAGAUUUAUCGAUGUAAGCUGGGCAUGCGUCCAAUUAGCUAGUUGGUGAGGUAACGGCUCACCAAGGCAAUGAUUGGUAGGGGAACUGAGAGGUCAAUCCCCCACACUGGCACUGAGAUACGGGCCAGACUCCUACGGGAGGCAGCAGUAGGGAAUAUUGGGCAAUGGACGCAAGUCUGACCCAGCCAUGCCGCGUGCAGGAUGAAGGCGUUAUGCGUUGUGAACUGCUUUUAUACAGGAAGAAACUACUCUUGCGAGAGGCAUUGACGGUACUGUAUGAAUAAGCACCGGCUAACUCCGUGCCAGCCGCCGCGGUAA